CGGAGGGUGCAAGCGUUAUCCGGAUUCACUGGGUUUAAAGGGUGUGUAGGCGGAUACUUAAGUCAGUGGUGAAAUCUCCGGGCUCAACCUGGAAACUGCCAUUGAUACUAUUUAUCUUGAAUUCUGUUGAGGUGGGCGGAAUACAUCAUGUAGCGGUGAGAUGCUUAGAUAUGAUGUAGAACACCGAUUGCGAAGGCAGCUCACUAAGCAGCGAUUGACGCUGAGGCACGAAAGCGUGGGGAUCAACCAGGAUUAGAUACCCUGGUAGUCCACGCCCUAAACGAUGAUUACUCGACAUACGCGAUACACAGUGUGUGUCUGAGCGAAAGCAUUAAGUAAUCCACCUGGGAAGUACGACCGCAAGGUUG
rnacentral:rRNA from 1 species